rnacentral:rRNA from 1 species
CCUACGGUAGGCAGCAGUGGGGAAUAUUGGUCAAUGGGCGCAAGCCUGACCCAGCAACGCCGCGUGAAGGAAGAUGGCCUUCGGGUUGUAAACUUCUUUUAUGCGGGAAGAGCAGAAGUCGGUACUUCCUGAAUAAGCCACGGCUAACUACGGGCCAGCAGCCGCGGUAAUCCGUCGGUGGCAGGCGUUGUCCGGAUUUACUGGUUGUAAAGGGUGUGUAGGCGGGAAGACAAGUCAGGCGUGAAAUCCCGCGGCUCAAGCGCGGAACUGCAUUUGAAACUGUUUUUCUUGAGUACCGGAGAGGUGAUCGGAAUUCCUGGUGUAGCGGUGAAAUGCGUAGAUAUAAGGAAGAACACCAGUGGCGAAGGCGGAUGACGGGACGGCAACUGACGGUGAGGCGCGAAAGCGUGGGGAGCAAACAGGAUUAGAUACCCCUGUAGUC